rnacentral:rRNA from 1 species
GAUGAACGCUGGCGGCGUGCCUAACACAUGCAAGUCGAACGGAGCUGCUUUGAUGAAGUUUUCGGAUGGAUUUAAAACAGCUUAGUGGCGGACGGGUGAGUAACGCGUGGGUAACCUGCCUCACACUGGGGGAUAACAGUUAGAAAUAGCUGCUAAUACCGCAUAAGCGCACGGUUCCGCAUGGAACAGUGUGAAAAACUCCGGUGGUGUGAGAUGGACCCGCGUCUGAUUAGCCAGUUGGCGGGGUAACGGCCCACCAAGGCGACGAUCGGUAGCCGGACUGAGAGGUUGAACGGCCACAUUGGGACUGAGACAGGCCCAGACUCCUACGGGAGCAGCAGUGGGGAAUAUUGCACAAUGGGGGAAACCCUGAUGCAGCGACGCCGCGUGGAGGAAGAAGGUCUU